rnacentral:rRNA from 1 species
UACAGAGGGGGCAAGCGUUAUUCGGAAUUAUUGGGCGUAAAGGGCGCGUAGGCGGCCUGACAAGUGGAAGGUGAAAUCCCUCGGCUUAACCGAGGAACUGCCCUCCAAACUGUUUGGCUUGAGUCCGGGAGAGGUGAGUGGAAUUCCCAGUGUAGCGGUGAAAUGCGUAGACAUUGGGAGGAACACCAGUGGCGAAGGCGGCUCACUGGACCGGAACUGACGCUGAUGCGCGAAAGCGUGGGGAGCAAACGGG